rnacentral:rRNA from 1 species
GACGAACGCUGGCGGCGUGCUUAACACAUGCAAGUCACGGGGGUCCCGCAAGGGAUAACCGGCGAACGGGUGCGUAACACGUGAACAACCUGCCCUCGUGUGGGGGAUAGCCAUGCUAACGCGUGGGUAAUACCGCAUACGGUCCUUUGGGGGAGUCCCUGGGGGAAGAAAGCUCCGGCGCACGGGGAGGGGUUCGCGGCCUAUCAGCUAGUUGGGGGGUAGUGCC